rnacentral:rRNA from 1 species
UACGUAGGGAGCAAGCGUUGUCCGGAAUCAUUGGGCGUAAAGCGCGCGUAGGUGGCCAUGUAAGUCCGCUGUGAAAGUCAAAGGCUCAACCUUUGAAAGCCGGUGGAUACUGCAUGGCUAGAGUACGGAAGAGGCGAGUGGAAUUCCUGGUGUAGCGGUGAAAUGCGCAGAUAUCAGGAGGAACACCAAUGGCGAAGGCAGCUCGCUGGGACGGUACUGACGCUGAGACGCGAAAGCGUGGGGAGCAAACAGG